AGAUCAUUCUCGAUAGGGGAGGUGAAGCUUGAAUAUUUUUGAAGAAUAACUCUGUGCUUAUCAGGUUGAAAGGAUAUGAAAGAAUAUUCCUGGCUGAGGGAGGAAUGUAAACUAUGGAAGAAGGAAUCCGGUCUGUACCAGACACCCUAAAGGAAUGGCAUGUUUAUGCCUGCAGAGGUGGGAGAGUCCACAGAUAAAGACGUCAGAGGCCAAGGAAGGAAGGCCCAUGCUGCCAGGCUGAGGAGUUCAAAGGAUUCCCAAGACAGGAAACAUGCUGGCUGGCUGGCAGGAGGCUCAGCAACUGGCCUUGAACUCUCUUGACCUACCGAAGCUGAGGUUUUCCAUACAAUGCUACUGAGGAGCUCAAGCCGAAUGGAGCUGGCUGAAAUGAAAUAAAAAUAGCCCUUUCCAGUUACGGCUCUGUAGCCAGCAGCUGGAUUGAUAUUCAGAGAGGAUUGGAUUCAAGUAUAAUUGAAUUCAAAGCAUAAUAAAUUGAAGCCAACUCAUUUGACUUAUGA
rnacentral:lncRNA from 1 species